UAGCCUCAAACUGUAGCUAGCUGGUCCCGGUUAAUUUAUUGGACAACAUGUUCAUCUAUUAUUGAUUAAUAACUAGAUCCAGACCCGCACUGUGCGCAAGAUUUUUUUUUCAAGUCUUCUUUACAGUUUUUAAAUUAGAUUAUACGAUAAUCAAAUUUAUGGUUUAUGAAACAUAUUUAUUUGGAUAUAAUAUAUUUUCUCUAUAUGUAUAGUAUUGAUGUGUGUUUAAAUAUAGUAUAUAGAUUGUACAUGGUGUUCAUAUUAAACAUAUAGAUAAUCAUCUAUCUAUCUAUAUAUAUAAAAUCAUGUUUAUUCUCUCCCGGUGCAGCCACAUAGGAUGCCACGUCAGAAACUCGGCUCCCGUACGCGCGACACGUGUCCCUGUAUGAUGAAACUCAUCGUUUCAUUUAUUCUGAAGUUUAAUGGGCUUUCACGAGAGUCUUUGUUUUUGGUUAAUUGGGCUGAAGAGAUAAGCAAAAGCUUAGCCCAUUUUUAUCGCCACCUUCCUCAAGACGUCGGCACUAGAUUUCUAGGGUUCUUUGUGUGUUUUGAUUUUCAUUCAUCUCCGACAAUGGAGGGAGAUUCAGGAGAGUAAUUUGUGAUGAAUCGUCAUGUAAAUUCCUUGGAGCGUGAUGUUUCAGUGUCGUUUCGUCUCAUGUUCUUCUCCAAGGAAGCGUUACAGGCUGAAUUAAUUCAAUGCCAUUAAAGAGGUUCUUAAUUCCUUGACCCACUUCAACCACAAUCUCUCAUUCAUUUCAUCUUCCUCUCAUUUCAUCUUCCUCUCUUGCAAGCGGUGCAUCUACAGCUAUAAAAAGUAGAAUGGCGAAUGCAUCUCUCUCAGAAAAAAAAACGAGGAUGAUACAGAGGAGUAAUCUGGGGUUAAGAGCGACGGUGAUAAAGAAAUUUUUGAUCUGAGACCUGAGCUAACUCUGAAGAAUCUAAAGAGGGUUAAUCAGAGCAUUAAGAGAUUGGGACGGACCAGUAACAAAAUGCAAAAAAGUCAAUGGAAAAUGCUCUAUACUUAGAUGAGAUCAUCAUCAUCAUGUUCAAUAUCUCCAGAAGGCAAGUUGAGG